CUACGGGCCGCUCCAGUGAGGAAUAUUGCACAAUGGGGAGAACCCUGGUGCAGCAACGCCGCGUGGAGGAUGACGCAUUUCGGUGUGUAAACUCCUUUUAUAUGUCAAGAAAAUGACGGUAGCAUAUGAAUAAGCACCGGCUAACUCCGUGCCAGCAGCCGCGGUAAUACGGAGGGUGCAAGCGUUACUCGGAAUCACUGGGCGUAAAGGACGCGUAGGCGGGUUGGAAAGUCAGGUGUGAAAUCCUACAGCUUAACUGUAGAACUGCACUUGAAACUUCUAAUCUAGAGUAUGGGAGGGGGAGAUGGAAUUAGUGGUGUAGGGGUAAAAUCCGUAGAUAUCACUAGGAAUACCUAAAGCGAAGGCGAUCUCCUGGAACAUUACUGACGCUAAGGCGUGAAAGCGUGGGGAGCAAACAGGAUUAGAUACCCGGGUAGUC
rnacentral:rRNA from 1 species